UUUAAUCGCUAUUCCAAUAGGCGAAGUCGAACCAAGUCAGGUUAGGAAUAAAGCAGCUUUAAGAUUCUCCCUGUGUGGGAUAGCUAUUUUAUAU
rnacentral:SRP_RNA from 1 species